rnacentral:rRNA from 1 species
AUUGAACGCUGGCGGCAGGCCUAACACAUGCAAGUCGAACGAGUGGCGGACGGGUGAGUAAUGUCUGGGAAACUGCAUGAUGGAGGGGGAUAACUACUGGAAACGGUAGCUAAUACCGCAUACCAUCAGAUGUGCCCAGAUGGGUUUAGCUAGUUGGUGGGGUAACGGCUCACAAAGGCGACGAUCCCUACCUGGGCUGAGAGGAUGACCAGCAACACUGGAACUGAGAAACGGUCCAGACUCAUACGGUAGGGAGCAGGGGGGAAUAUUGAACAAUGGGCGAAAGCCUGAUGCCGCAAUGCCGCGUGUAUGAAGAAGGCCUUCGGGUUGUAAAGUACUUGCAGCGGGGAGGAGUUAAAGGAAGAAGAAGCACCGGCUAACUCCGUGCCAGCAGCCGCGGUAAGAG